CAAGUCUUUCCCAUGCUGUUCUUGUGACAGUGAAUAAGUCUCACAAGAUCUGACGGUCUUUAAAAGAGGAAUUCCCCUGCACAAGUUCCCUCUCUUUGCCUGCUAUCAUCUAUGUAAGACGUGACUUGCUGUACUUUGCCUUCUGCCAUGAUUGUGAGGCUUCACCAGCCCUGUGGAACUGAGGGAAGUGUUUUUCUCAAAAACACAUUGUAGUGUUCUGUGGAAGGCAGCAAGAAAUGAAGCUGAAAUGGAAGGCAGAAUAUAGACUGUGAACAGUCCUGAAAUCUUAACCAACACAGAUGUCAGAAGAGUUUGAAACCUCAGAUUUGUGAAGGUUUAAGCAAGGAAACUAUGCAAGAGUAUCACCAUGUGGUGGAAUACUGAAAUGGAAAAAGUAUGGACCUUGGACUUGGGAAGUUGGUAAGGGUUGUCAGACCCUCUACAAAUAUUCAGGAAAUUGAUACAGUAAUUUACUAAAAUCCACUCACUGAAUAAAAGUUUGCUGAACACCUG
rnacentral:lncRNA from 10 species